rnacentral:ncRNA from 2 species
GCCAAAUAGGGGCGUUAUGGUUCCCCAUCACGACGCCAAGCGUUUAGGGGAGAAAUGGGAAUGUGGUGCGCGAGACCCAAAUCGGGGCGCAAAACCACAGCCGCCCCCGCGACUGUAAGCGGUGAGUGCCCGUCGACAUGCCACUGGAACACCCUGUUCUGGGAAGGUGACGAAGGCGCUUUGACCCGCGAGCCAGGAAACCUGCCGUGACCUCAUACCAACC